rnacentral:rRNA from 1 species
CAGUCGCCGCGGGAAUACGAAGGGGGCUAGCGUUGUUCGGAAUUACUGGGCGUAAAGGGCGCGUAGGCGGCCAUUCAAGUUAGAUGUGAAAGCCCUGGGCUCAACCUAGGAAUUGCAUUUGAUACUGUUUGGCUUGAGAAUGGGAGAGGUGAGUGGAAUUCCCAGUGUAGAGGUGAAAUUCGUAGAUAUUGGGAAGAACACCGGUGGCGAAGGCGGCGACCUGGUCCUUGACUGACGCUGAGGCGCGAAAGCGUGGGGAGCAAACAGGAUUAGAUACCCGGGUAGUCCCUGUCUCUUAUAC